UUGCUGUGAUGACUUUACAUUGUGGUUUCCAUCACUGAACGUGCAGUAGUGAGGACACUCAUUUCCUUGGCUGUGUCUGAGCGA
ensembl:snoRNA SNORD92 small nucleolar RNA, C/D box 92